UACGAAGGGGGCUAGCGUUGUUCGGAAUUAUUGGGCGUAAAGAGCUCGUAGGCGGUUCGGCAAGUCGGAUGUGAAAUCUCCACGCUUAACGUGGAGGGGCCAUUCGAAACUGCCGUGACUCGAGUCCGGUAGGGGAGUGCGGAAUUCCCGGUGUAGCGGUGAAAUGCGCAGAUAUCAGGAGGAACACCGGUGGCGAAGGCGGGUCUCUGGGCAGUUCCUGACGCUGAGGCACGAAGGCCAGGGGAGCAAACGGG
rnacentral:rRNA from 1 species